AACACACGUUAAAGCAUGAAGUGA
rnacentral:siRNA from 1 species